CCGACAACUAGAUCGGAAUGGAUCGAUCCCUCAGAAAUAUCUUGGCUCCAAUCGAGACCUCUAAAAUUGUGUUCGACAAGGUAUUGACGACGAAAAGAUAUCCUGAUCCAAGUUAGGACAUCCACAAGUGAGUUCUUCAGAAGAGAUUCAAGGACACAAUCGAAGUCAUUGACUUGGUAGAAAUUCUAACCAAUGUACAAUUCAAAAUUGAUUUAGGCAAUCUACAUCGGGUAGAACAUUACUUUAGGAACAAACUGACCACAUGAACCA
rnacentral:lncRNA from 1 species